GGGGGGGUAGCUCAGUGGUAAGAGCGUAGCGAACUUGCAUUUGGUCUUUUCCCUAAGAACAGCGAAACGUACCCUAGAAAUGCCGGUUCCUAAGGUCCUGAGUUCGAAUCUCAGUUCUCCCU